ACUUAAAUUGAAGAGUUUGAUCAUGGCUCAGAUUGAACGCUGGCGGCAGGCCUAACACAUGCAAGUCGAGCGGUAGCACAGAGAGCUUGCUCUCGGGUGACGAGCGGCGGACGGGUGAGUAAUGUCUGGGAAACUGCCUGAUGGAGGGGGAUAACUACUGGAAACGGUAGCUAAUACCGCAUAACGUCGCAAGACCAAAGUGGGGGACCUUCGGGCCUCAUGCCAUCAGAUGUGCCCAGAUGGGAUUAGCUAGUAGGUGGGGUAACGGCUCACCUAGGCGACGAUCCCUAGCUGGUCUGAGAGGAUGACCAGCCACA
rnacentral:rRNA from 1 species